AACUCUCUCUCUUUCUGAUUGAGUGUAAGCUGCUAUAUGAAGGGAUCCACAAGACGAAUAAUUAAGGGGGACCUCUGAUCAACAGCCAGCAAGGAACUGAAUCCCUCAGACCCACAACUCACAAGAAACUGAAGCUGAAGCAGAUUCUUCCUCAGUCAAGCUUCAGGUGCCCAGCUGUAUUGGUAGAGGAGACCAACCACACCCUCCACAGCACAGCACCUGGAGAGGAACUGCUGCCAUGACCAUAGAGGACACCCUCUGGAUACAAUGCCAGACUUGAUGUGGGACUGACCAACCUAUGGACCCCAGGCACCACCACCCAGACCUGCUCAGCACCUGAAACAUUCACAGCCGUGGAGAGAGAACUGUUCACUGCUACCAUCCACACUUCUGGGCCCCUUCAGCAGCAGGGUGACAAGGAAGAGGGAAAUCGACUUGGAAAAGAGGGGACCUCUGACCCAAGAGUUCGGUCAAUGCAUAUGUUGGCAGCCAGCUGCACAUCGCACCAAAUAUGAACUUCAAAUAGAAGAAAGCCUCAUUUGGAAGAAAGCUCAUGCACAGACUGUAAAUAUUUCAGAGCAGAUUGUGUCUCUGUAGAUUAACCGGAUACAGUGGCUUGCACCUGUGGUCUCAGCGACUUGGGCGACUGAAGCAAGAAGAUCACUUGAGCCUAGGAGUUCGAGGCUACAGCAAGCUAUGACCGUGCCACUGCACUCCAGCCUGGGCGUGACAGACCAGCUCUUCUUCUGAAGGAUGACCACCUGGAAUAAGAGCAGCCCUAGGCCCCCCACCUCACUCCAGGUGGCAGAUCCACAGAGAUGGUAGCGAUACAGAAGCACAGCUUCCGAUGGCUUCCCCGUGUCUUCAGUUUGCAGCCUUAUUUCGGUGCUUGGACGUGCUUAACUUCUCAGGAUUAUAUUCUGCUUUGGAGUGCAAGGAGAAAGUCACAGUCUAGUUUUAUGAAGACCAAACUAGAGAAAAUCGAGUUAUCUUAAAGUGUAUGACAUCUCCACAAAUGAAUGUUUAUGGCUUUACACUUGGAGUGUUCUUGGAACACUCUUCAUAGCAAAUCCUCCCUCAGAAGACCCCCACCUGGCAUCAGAACAAACCGGUAAGAAUGAUCCUACUUCAAUAGAGUUGCUGUGAGGAUUCACUGAGAUCAUGUGUACCAAGCUCCUACAAUAGUACUGAACCCACAGCCAUGGAUCAAGACCAUUAACUUAUAAUCAGUGAUAGCCAAGAGGAUGGGAAGAGAAUAUUAAGCCUGGUGCUCUGCAAAUUAAUACUUGCAGGUUGGGAAGCCAGAUAUCCACAUUAUCUCACAUCACAUCACUGAGCUCUGUGGCCCAGUUCUGACUACAUGUUAGAAGCAGAAGUCUGCAGGGGAUGGCUUCUGAGAAAACUUGUAUUUAUUAUUUAAAUUUAACCUUCUAGCCUGGGAAUAAAUUCCAGCUUGCUUAGAACAAUACAGCACAGAAGAGAGCCUGAGUUCCUGGUGCAUCCCUGUGCCAGUGUCUCAAUCCUGCCCCACCGAUUUCCAAUUUCUUAUUAUGUGAAAAGCAACCCUCCCUUCUUUGAUUAAGUCAUUAUUGAUAGGGUUUUUUUGGUGACUUGCAUCCAAAUGCAUUCCUUAACUCAAACAAAAUAGAAGGGGAAUUCCACAUUCACACUGUUGCAUCAGACAAGCUCUGGCUUCUCAGAACUUUAGUUUUCCAUUUACUAGAGCUCAGAAUCAAAGAGACAGUAAAGAAACCCAUUUAAAAAUUGCUUGGCAUAUAUAUCUUGGGUGAUGGGACUUCAUGGGUAAUAUUUUUAAAAUUUCUUUGUGUAUUUUUCUUUUAUUGUCAAACGUUAUUAAAGAGACCAUAGAUACCUUUUGUAAUUAUAAUAAAAAACAAAAUGUUACUAAGAACAGUGAGAACUCUUAAGCUAACUACAAGAUAAUUAAUAUAUAACUGCAAAAUAUAAAAUACCAAAGCCAUUUUCAAAUAAAGAAACAGAGCCACAUGAAACUUUGCAGUUUAGCCAAAGUCAUUUCAGGAUUCUGAAGCUGGGGAGGAAGCAAGGCUUACUUAGCCCGUGGCUAGAAUUCACUUUUGAAAACUCCAUUUUUGUCCAUUCCCUCUUAUCACUACUUGCUUGCAAGUUAGGAAACAAAUUAGAACAAAAGCAUUGUUUGUCGUCAGUGGUCAAUGUUCAUUGCUUUACCAGAGGCUCGGGAUUAGAAGAUUCUCAGAACCAGUUAGCUCCUGAUACAAUCGGGCCUUGAUAUGGUUUGGAUUUGUGUCCCCACCCAAAUCUCAUGUCGAAUUAGAGGAGGGGCCUGGUGGGAGGUGAUUGGAUCAUGGGGGCAGAUUUCCCUCUUGCUGUUCUCAUGAUAGUGACUGAGUUCUCAAAGAUCUUAGGGUUUAAAACUUUUGUGGCACUUCCAUCUUCGCUCUCUCUUCCUCUCUCAUGCUGCCAUGUGAAGAAGGUGCCUGCUUCCCCUUUGCUUUCUGCCAUGAUUGUACGUUUCCUGAGGCCUCCCAGUUGUGCUUCCUGAUAAGCCUAUGGAACUGUGAGUCAAUUAAAUCUCUUUUCUAUAUAAAUAA
rnacentral:lncRNA from 1 species